GGGUUGUGAGGUUAAGCGACUAAGCGUACACGGUGGAUGCCCUGGCAGUCAGAGGCGAUGAAGGACGUGCUAAUCUGCGAAAAGCGCCGGCGAGGUGAUAUGAACCCUUGACCCGGCGAUGUCCGAAUGGGGAAACCCAGUGUGAUUCGUCACACUAUCGUUAACUGAAUACAUAGGUUAACGAGGCGAACCGGGGGAACUGAAACAUCUAAGUACCCCGAGGAAAAGAAAUCAACCGAGAUUCCCCCAGUAGCGGCGAGCGAACGGGGAGCAGCCCGGAGUCUGAAUCAGCUUGUGUGUUAGUGGAACGGUCUGGAAAGUCCGACGGUACAGGGUGAUAGUCCCGUACACGAAAAUGCACAGGUUGUGAACUCGAAGAGUAGGGCGGGACACGUGGUAUCCUGUCUGAAUAUGGGGGGACCAUCCUCCAAGGCUAAAUACUCCUGACUGACCGAUAGUGAACCAGUACCGUGAGGGAAAGGCGAAAAGAAC
rnacentral:rRNA from 1 species